rnacentral:rRNA from 1 species
GAUGAACGCUGGCGGCGUGCCUAAUACAUGCAAGUCGAGCGAACAGAUGAGAAGCUUGCUUCUCUGAUGUUAGCGGCGGACGGGUGAGUAACACGUGGGUAACCUACCUAUAAGACUGGGAUAACUCCGGGAAACCGGGGCUAAUACCGGAUAAUAUUUUGAACCGCAUGGUUCAAUAGUGAAAGGCGGUUUCGGCUGUCACUUAUAGAUGGACCCGCGCCGUAUUAGCUAGUUGGUAAGGUAACGGCUUACCAAGGCGACGAUACGUAGCCGACCUGAGAGGGUGAUCGGCCACACUGGAACUGAGACACGGUCCAGACUCCUACGGGAGGCAGCAGUAGGGAAUCUUCCACAAUGGGCGAAAGCCUGACGGAGCAACGCCGCGUAAGUGAUGAAGGUCUUCGGAUCGUAAAACUCUGUUGUUAGGGAAGAACAAAUUUGUUAGUAACUGAACAAGUCUUGACGGUACCUAACCAGAAAGCCACGGCUAACUACGUGCCAGCCGCCGCAGUAA